UUCUUCAACACAUUUGUUUUGGUAGCAUCCUAUGGUAGGUGUUUAAUAUUAAUGUACAAUGAAUGUACGUGUCAUGACCUUUUGCAAAAGCCCCGCCUAUCUUAGUUACUGUUGCAACAUCCCGUGGUUGUUUGUGGUAACUUCUGUAAACAGUCAAUCACAGAGUGGAAACGUAGCAUAUUACCGGUCAGUGUAAGUCACUGUUUUUGGAGGAAUACCUCCGCGAUGUCCAGAUCAAGGCAUUGCAAUAUGCAGUGGAAGGAUAUGUUCACAAUAUUCAGAUAAAAUAGGAACGGGACACAAUAAUUGAAACAAACAGAUCUCAAUCAAGGAUUGAGAAACCCUAUGAACUCAAAUGCGAUCAGCACAGCCUUGUGGACCAGUCAUGCUCUUACCCUGCCAGUCCGAGGAAUAUGAGAAGAAGGAGAACCAACAGACAAACCACGACCACCAGACCAGCCCCCAUAUAUAUCAGCACAUCUGGAGAACACACCAGAGAUGGGAGAGACAGGACAGAGAUGUGGAGGAGAGAGAGACUCAACAACCCGGAUCUCUCUAAUGGAUGU